rnacentral:rRNA from 1 species
CUGGGUUUGACAUCCUCUGACAACCAUAGAGAUAUGGCUUUCGUAGCAAUACGACAGAGAGACAGGUGCUGCAUGGCUGUCGUCAGCUCGUGUGGUGGCAUGUCGGGUUAAGUCCCUCAACGAGCGCAACCCCUGUUUUUAGUUGCCAGCAUUAAGUUGGGCACUCUAGAAAGACUGCCGUGGUUAACACGGAGGAAGGCGGGGAUGACGUCAAGUCCUCAUGGCCCUUACACCCAGGGCGACACACGUAAUACAAUGGUCGAUACAGAGGGAAGCGAACCAGCGAUGGGGAGCAAAUCUCAAAAAGUCGAUCUCAGUUCGGAUUAGAGUCUGCAACUCGACUCUAUGAAGGCGGAAUCGCUAGUAAUCGCGGAUCAGCACGCCGCGGUGAAUACGUUCCCGGGCUUUGUACACACCGCCCGUCACACCAUGGGAGCUGACUCAACCAGAAAACAGUGUAGCUAACCGUAAGGGGGCUAUUGUUGAAGGUGGGGUUGGUGACUGGGGUG